ACGGAUAUCCCGUACAUAAAGGAAAUCCAGCCCGCAUCUCUUUCUUUGGCUUCCCUUGUAGUGCAGUAUGAUGACUACUGGCCUGAGAAGACUAUGGGCCACGCCGGAAUUGAGGCCACACACCAGAGAAGCUGUGGUCCAUGCAUUUGGCUCCUGGGCCUGCUUUACUGUCCACAUCCAGUCGGUAUGAGCUUCUCGUGGUCUUAGUGAUGGGCAGUUUGGUCCUUGGUCAGGUCCAGACAGAUUCCAGUGACCCAGAGACCCUGCCUGGAAUGGGGGCUCGUAGCCAAGCCCCCGGUGGUUGGGCCAGCCUUUUCGUGAGCUCAGCACCUGGUGAAGAGCCAUGAGGGUCCAGUGCAUCAUGGAUCGUGUGGCAGUGGAAGGCAGAGGCGUUGGGUUGACCCCCAGUUACUGAAGCUGGCUUUAGGGACAUGGACCAUAACCUCCUUGGUUGGGGAUUGCGGCGCCGCUGCCUUUCGGAGUCACCCCACAUCGCCACAGCUGUGUGAACAAGAUGGGACUGAUCUGCUGGGGCUGUGCUGGAUUACUGCAGGUUUUGUGGUUGGUUUGCUGUGAUCCAGAUUCCAAGGUGUGGUGCGGAGGGCUGAGCUGACACUGAAGUGAGACCACCAGCAGCUAUGGUGUGCUGCUCCCCAACCUCAGCCCCUUCUGUUACUUUUAUUUCCCUGCAAGUUAUAGUCUGACUGUAUGCCAUGCAUGUGACAACCCUUAUCUGCUCUAUUUGUGGAAGCAGUUUCAUUGUAUGCUUACAAUGACAAAUGUGUCAAUCUGAUUAUUGCGCUGUCUAUAAUCUAAAGGACGUUUGACCAGAAAUGUAGCUCUAAGUCUGUUAUAAGAAUUAGCUGGAAUACUUGACAAAAUACCAUGAACUUUAAUACCUGUCUAUCAUACAUGAAACAAGGCAAAUGAUCAAUAAAGAAUCUGGAUGAGCCACUGAA